rnacentral:tRNA from 1 species
GGGGUUGUGGCUCAGCGGUAGAGUGCUCGCCUAGCAUGUGAGAGGCCCUGGGUUGGAUCCUCAACACCA